rnacentral:lncRNA from 1 species
UACACCAUUCUUUUCUUGACCUAGUUUUGAGUUUAGUGGAUGGUGAAGCUCCUAGGAGCUUGGGAUUCAUAUUUGAGUUGUGUGAUGUUGUUCUCAUUUCAUCUCUUUGUGUAUCAACUUCAUUUUACAUUGCUCAUUUAUUUUGAUUGGACAAAGGACUCCUUAUUUGGAUGAUAUCCAUCUUUUGACUAGCUAGUUACAUU